CUGGAAUGAUGCGACUUAGCCAAAUCAGACAUUCAUGUGCUCCAUGAGGCAACAAACGUUAUCUUUAAAGCUUGUUCUCAUUCCAAAACUUAAAACGUACAAGCAUGUGGGCAAGCUUUGGUUGAUGUUGAUUGCCCCAUGUUGAAGUGCAUUUCUCUGAUGAUCAAAAAGGAGAUUGGUUGUUUCCUGACCAGA